CCCAAGAGAUCCAAUGAUCAUAAUCACUUUGAUUUUGUUGACUCAAAAGUGUAAAGAGAUGUUUCAGUGCUCUGCGGGUACAGGUCCACCACUGGAAACUCAUCAAUCACAUCGCUCCAGGGGUUCAUUUUCUCACGAUCAAUAGUCCUAAUGGCUUUCCAAAACACACUACUACAUUUAAAGCCAGACCCAUAUGCAAUCUGCCACACACGAUCACCCCUCUUGAUCCUACCCUUGGCCUCCGCAUAGGCUAGUUCAUACCACACUGAACUACUCGAUGUAUUUCCAAACCUAUAAAAGGUCAUUCUAGAAGCUUCCAUUUGCCUCUCACUCAUCCUCAAGUUCUUUUCUACUUGGUCUAGUAUUGGCUUUCCACCCACGUGAGGGAAGAAAUGAUCCAUUGCAUGCUUGAAACUUGGCACGUACGGCUCGAUGUUUGCCAUAUGGAAAUACCUAAUUAAAUAGUUGACAAGAUAGAGAAAUCGUUCUGACGUGGGGAGAAUAAGGGGAGCCAGUGUGGCUAUAUUAGAUUUAAUGAUCUCGGAGGCCACGACCAAGAGAUCUUUGGUGAUGGUGAUACCCAUGUGGCCCUCAUGGUCCUCUUCUUGGAUGAUGCAAUUGUAUGAACGAUCAGAACUUGCGGUGUUGGUGUGGACGGUGUGGAUGAGUUGGUACUUGGAGCCGACACGAUCAGACGAACGAUUGGAGAGGAAAACAGCGACACCACCCAUGCGGAAAAUGCAAUUGCCGAUGAGCUUUGGUGGUUCGUUUCCCAUGUAGCAACCUUGAGUGAUAAUCUCUAUAGUCACCACUAGUGCAUACAAAUUACGAUGCACCUGCAUUAUUUGAAAAAUAAAUAAUAAAAUAUGAAACUCUUUUGUUUUUAUAGUGACAUGGUAAACACAAGACGAAAAUUCAUUUUCUUAUAAAAAAAUUAUUAAUAUUUUAUUUUUAAAAAUAUAAAGUAGAAAGUUUAUCCAAACAAAUAAUUACCUUUUUUUAUUUUAACUCUUAUAAUCAUAUUAAUUUCUUUUAUAUUAUGUUUGGUUCCCAAAAGUACUAAAUAAAAAAAUAAUAAAGAAAAUAAUUUUUUCCUAUCUUGUUAUAUUAUGAAAAAUAAAAAAUAAAUAUAAUUAAAAUUAAUUUAAAACUUAUAAUUUUUUAAAUUAUUUAAUUUUUAUGUAAAGAGUUAAAAAAAUGAUUAUAUAAAUAUGAAGAAUGAUUAAAAAUAAAAUAUUAAAAAUUUUAUUAUUAAAAUAUAUUUAAAAAUAUAAAAAAUAAGUUAAGAAGAUUUCAGGUAAAGUUAUUUUAAAAAUAUAUUUAAAAAUAUAAAAAACAAAGUUAAAAAGAUUUCAAGUUCUCAAAAGAGACUUUUUUUCACAAAAUACUAUUAAAUAAUUUUCAAAAACUAUGACUAUGUUUGGUAAUUGUUUCUUAUUCUUCAAAACAAAAAAAAUAAGAAAAUACGUUUGAUAAUUAGAAAAAUAUUUUUUAUUUUCUAUUCUUAAAAAUGGAAAACAUACUGUUUUCAAAUAACAUCUUUUAAUUGCUUAAGAAUUAUUUUAAAAAAUAAUUAUAAAAACAUGUAAAAUAAUUAUAUAUAUAUAUACACACACUAGAUAUAAAAAAUUAUCUUUAAAACAUAUUUAAAAACAUUAAAAUCACGGAAAAAACAUUUCAAGCUCUCAAACAAAUAUUUAUUUAAUAUGAAAGAAUAAUUUUCAAAAUUUGUUCUCAGAAAAUAAUUACCAAAUGAGAUAUAUUUCUUAAAACAGUUUUUGAAAACACUUUUCAGACAUAAUGUAAACAUAAAAAAUAAAAAGCCCAACCUUGAGAAGGUCUUUGGCGAGCCCAAUGGAUAAGAGUCCAGCACUGCAUCCCAUUCCACUAAGAUUGUAGCUCAAAACAUUCUCACUAAGCUUGUAUCUAUUCACAAUCAUGGAAGCCAGAGACGGAACAGUGUUAAAAAUACUGCUAUGCACCACCACUAUCCCUAUCUCCUCACCCUUCACCCCAGUCUUGCCCAGUAACUCAUCCACAGCUCCGAACACCACCAUCUCCGCCUCUUUUCUCGCCGCUUUCGUCGACGUAUCCAGCGGCUCCUUGAGCAGUCCCUCCGACAAGUACGUAGCCUCACCUAAUCCCGACGCCUUCAUUAGUUUCUUCAUGAAUUCCAGACUCUCGUCGGAGAAAUUCCCAUGCAACCUCAACCUCUCAAUCACCAUUUCCUUAGAGCAUGCCAAAGAGUUGGGAGGUUUGUAGCAUGCGAAAUCUACCAAGAAAAUUUUAGGAGAAGAGCCAAAGGCGAAAAGGCUUAACAUAAAAGCAAUUAGGGUUAAACCCACCAUGACGGCCGCUGGUAGGAUGAAAUCAUACUGGCUGAUCAGAAACCCUAAGAGAUCAUUUGAUAUGUAUUCAAGGAGAAACAUGGUGGAAUGGGUUAUGAAUGUAUGUAGUUUUUGGAUCAAAAAUGGCUAAAAACCAUGCAUUUAAAUAGCAAAAACAACAUUUAUUUAUUUGUUACGCUACAUGUAUGACAUCAUACAAUAUAGUGUUCUGCAACAUGUGUGGCAUCAUAUAAUAUGGUGUUACGUUAUGUCUAUCUAUGUUAGGCCAUGUACAGUUGUAACUAAACCAAAUUAAUUAGAAACCUGUAUCUAAAUGAUUAGUUUGGUAUUGUUAGGUAAUUAGUUAUGAGGUAUAACUAACUUCAAAUACAUAUGAAUAUGUAAAACCAAUGUUUUCAUAACCGAACCGGUCAUUGAACCAGAAAAGUUACUAGUUCACGGUUAACUGAUUGGACCGAUGGUCGAACUGCAAUCGAACUGGUGACGUAAAAAAUAUGUAAUUUAUAUAUUAAUAAAAUUAAAAAUAAUUAUAAAAAAAUUAAAAAUAAAUAUAAAAAAAUUAAAAAUCAAUAAUAUUAUUUUAUAUAUUUGAUAUUAUCAAAUUAAAUCAUAUUAAUAUUUUAAAUUUUAUUAAAUGAAAUAUGUAUAAUAUUUAAAUGUGAAUAUAUUAAAAAUGAAAAUUUAAACUAAUUUUAUAAUUUUUAAAAAUAUUAUAUUAUUUUUAUUUAAUAUUAUAAAAAAUUUUAAAAUCUAAUAUAUAUUGUUUUGUUUGGCAUAUUAGAUAACAAAUCGCAUGUAGCCGAGUGGUGUCCUGGGUUAGUUACAAAACCUGAGGUCUAAGGUUCAAAUUCUCUUGGGUGCAUUUGUUAAUUUUUUUUUCAUUGAUAUUAGUUAGCAAUCCCACAUAGAGGAAUAAUGGUGCAAAACAUGCCUAUAAAAGCUAUUCUCAUGAAGGCCAAGGCAUCAUUCCAUCUUGUGGGCUCAAAACUCAGCCCAUUAAUGGUUGGGGUGGGUAUGGGCUUUGUCAUAUUAAGACAUUGCCCAACAUGGGCUUUUGUCAAAAGUUUUUAUAAAUGGGGUCCUCAUGCCUACAAAAUGAGGAGCAACUUGAACCGUUUGGUUCGUUUAGAACCGUCCGAUUCCACCGUCCGAUUCCAUUGGUUCACCAGUCCGACCGCUGGUUUAGGCAGUUCGUGAUUGGUUCAAUGCUCAAACGGUUUAAUAGGGUAAAUCAGACCGGAAAUGUGACCGAUCAACCGUUGAACCAGUUAGACCAGCCAGUCCGGUUCGGUUUUCAAAACAUUGUGUAGAAAUUUCAGAAAUUUAAGAAACUUCUGUUUCACUCUGUUUUUAAUUUUAUUCCAUUUAACUUUCUUUCAAUUCUCACAUGGUAUCAGAGCCUGUAACAAUGGAAGAUCACUCAACCAAUGUGACUCUAUUGCAAGAUUUUGGAGAAAUUCCAACUACUGGAUCUGGUCUGAUUACGGGACAAAAUACUUUUCAGAUGAUGAAUCAAAUCAUUUUCCUCACUCGGUCAAUCUCUUACGAUCAAACUCGAUCACAAUAACUUCCUCAUUUGGCCCAAUCAAAUGCUUAAUAUGGUCAUUACAAAUGGGUUUGAUGAUAUUCUUGAUGGAACCCAACCAUGUCCACCACAUUUUCUACCUGAUCCAAAUUCUACCUCUGUCACAACAAUCAAAUCUCUAUUUGUAAAUCCAAAAUACAUCACUUGGCAACGUCAAAAUUGAUUGGUGAUGAGUUGGAUUUACUCCUCACUCACCGAACCGAUGAUGACUCAGAUCAUGAGUUACAAUACAGCUCAUGAAAUCUGGGAAUCUUUACGACGUAGUUUCACUUCUGCUUCUCAAGCUCAUAUAAUGGAGCUUCGUUUGCAUCUUCAAACUAUACGCAAAGGUGGCUUGAGCAUGCUUGACUAUAUGCUACGAAUAUGUAAUAUUUGUGACAAUCUAAUUGCUAUUGGAGAACUAGUGUUAGAGCAAGAUCAGAUUAUGGCAAUUCUGGGUGGAUUAGGCCCUGAGUACAAUCCUUUUGUAGUGACCAUUACUUCACGAGCUGAACCAAUCUCUGUUGAAGAAUUACAAAGUCACCUCAUGGUUUUUGAACGACAUCUUGAACGAUAAAGAUCUAUAGAAGAACAUACUCUAAUCUAAGCAAAUACUGCUCUGUUUCAGCAACAAAAGAACAGGAAGAAAACCUACAAUUCUAAUUUUCGUCCAAAUACCAGACAAAUCUCGAGAAAUGGUCAAUUUUCUGGUGGUAUCUUCCAUAAUUCUAACAAUCAGAAUUUUAAAACAAAGAAUUCUACUACUGGACAUACCAUAAACAAUAGUGGUAACUCAUCUGGAACUUUCAAGCCUCAAUGUUAAAUUUGUUCUAAGUUCGGGCACACUGCUUUACAAUGCUGGUAUUGAUUUAACUCUGAUCAUCAGCCAAAAGAUUCUAAGCAUUCCACUUCUAAUAAUCCUCAGGCUAUGACUGCAACUUCUACAACAAUGGGAAACACUUCUUAGUUUCUUGAUACAAGAACUACACAUCAUCUCACAUCCGAUCUUAACAAUUUAAUGAUCCAUAAUCCAUUUACCAAUGGUGACAAAGUAAUUGUUGGAGAUGGUAAGGGUUUAUCAAUUGCAAAUAUUGGUAAAUUUUCUCUUGUCUCUUCAAGUGGUUUUUUGGUUUUCAAUGACAUCUUGUGCGCAUGUUCCUUCUAUUAGAACCAACUUGGUUAUUGUGCAACGAUUUUGCUCAUACAAUGACACCUUUAUUGAAUUUCAUCCUUCUCAUUUUGUGGUGAAGGAUUAGAAAAUGAGACUUGCUCUUCUUGAAGGAAAAAUUGAGAAGAGCCUCUACAAACUUCUUGCUGCAACAAGAGAUGUUGGUCAUCUACUAGCCUUUUAUUCUACCAAUAGUCCUUCAGAUGUUGGUUUUUUUAGGCUCUAGCAUAAUAAACUUGGUCAUCCCUCUUUUGAUGUUGUUUCCAAAAUUUUAUCUCUUUGUAAAAUGCCUUUGAAAUUAAACAUGACAAUAAUAACUCUUUUUGUGAGUCUUGCCAGUUGGCUAAAAGCCAUCGUUUGCCAUUUGAAAGGUCCACUUCUAGAGCAAUAAAACAAUUUGGUCUCAUCCAUGUUGAUCUUUGGGGUGCAACUCCUAUAGUUUCUGUUAAUGGUGCUCGAUAUUUCCUCUUGCUAGUUGAUGAUUUUAGCAUAUUCUCAUGGUUGUAUCUUUUGGAAACUAAAGAUGAAGCUUUACUUAUGUUCUAACGUUUUCAAGCCAUGGUUGAAAGAUAGUUUGAUACUAAAGUUCAAUGUGAUGGGAGAGAGGUGAGUUUUAGGCCUUUUAGAAUUAUUUAGCUACAAAUGGUCUUCUUCAUCAAGUCUCUUGUCCUUAUACUCUUCAGCAAAAUGGAAGAGUUGAAAGGAAGAAUCGUCAUGUUGUGGAAGUUGGUAUUUCUUUAUUAAUACAAGUUGGUAUGCCUCUCAAAUAUUGAUCAUUUGCAUUUCAAACGGCCAUAUUUCUCAUAAAUCAACUUCCUUAUGCUAUUCUUUCACAAAAUUCUCCUUAUGGAGUUCUUUAUAAUCGUUUACCUGAUUAUACAUCUCUUUGAAGUUUUGGGUGUUUGUGUUUCUCUUAUCUUUGUCCUUGUGUUUCUCACAAGAUGGCAAAUAGAUAUGUUGCUUGCUAUUUUUUGGGCUAUAGUGCUAAGCACAAGAGAUUUCUCCGUUUGGAUAUGGCUUCCUCCCGGAUAUAUGCUUCCUGUCAUGUGUAUUUGAUGAAACUCAAUUUCCAUUUUUAACAAAGUUUUUAUCCUCUCAACCAGUAUCAUCAUCCAACUAUUCUUCAACACUUCUUGAUUAUGGUAUUCUCUCUAUUCUUACACAAUCUUCAAGGAAUCUUAAUCAUCAUCAACCUAAUUUUUCUUCUCCAAUUACCGUUCCUACCAAUUCUACUCAUAUUUCCACUUCGUCUGAUUUCCCAUUAGUCCCAUCUAAUCCACAUUAUUCUCCUACUUUACCACAAUCCUUUUCUCUAGCCUCCAAUGUUGAUCCUCCUUUACUUCCAAACCGAACUAUUGUUACUCGUAGCCAAAGUGGUAUUUUUAAACCUAAAAAAAAAUAUUCAGCCUUGUUGUCCAAACUACUGCUCAUGAACCCUCCUCUUUCAAAGAAGCCAUGUUGCAUCUUGACUAGCAAGAUGCUAUGAAGACUGAGUAUGCUACUCUUCCCACCAAUUCCACAGGGUCAUUGGUUCCUAAACCUAUUAAUAAACGCAUAAUUGGUUGUAAAUGGAUAUACAAAUUGAAACUCAAAGUUGAUGGCUCAGUUGAUCGUUUUAAAGCCCGCUUAGUUGCAAAGGGUUUUAAUCAAACAUAUGGUAUUGAUUAUUUUGAAACCUUUUGCCCUAUUGUUAAACUAACUACUAUACGACUUGUUAUUUCUCUUGUUAUUUCUCAUGGUUGGUUAGUGAAACAAUUAGAUGUUAAUAAUGUUUUUCUCAAUGGUGAGUUAGAAGAAGAGGUUUACAUGGUUCAACCUCCAGGUUUUGUUGAUCAUUCUAAACCCGAUGUCGUCUGUAAACUUCAAAAAGCCUUAUAUGGUUUUAAGCAAGCUCAUCGAGCAUGGUUCACCAAAUUAAAGAACUCAUUACUUGCUUGGGGUUUCUCUUGUUCUUUAUCUGAUUCCUCUAUGUUUCUCUUUCGGAAAGGGACUGACAUGAUCAUUAUUCUCAUUUAUGUUGAUGACAUUAUUGUUACUGGUUCUAAUUCCAUGUUGGUACACCAAGUAGUUUCUUCUUUACACUCUUAGUUUGCUUUCAAGGACCUUGGUAUUCUGAAUUACUUUUUAGGUGUUGAAGUAUGUUGGCAAGGAUCUUCUCUUCAUCUUUCCUAAACCAAAUAUAUUCAGGACUUGCUAACUCGUGUUGGUUUUGCAGAUUGUAAACCUAUUGCUACACCAAUGACUACCUCUCACACUUUAUCUGUCUCUGAUGGUUCUCUAUUGGCUGACCUUUCUCAAUAUUGCAACAUUGUUGGAGCCUUACAAUAUUGUACCAUUACAAGACCUGAUAUAUUUUUCUUUGUUAACAAACUUUGCUAUUCAUGCAAUCACCAACUGAUCUUCAUUGGCAAGUUGUUAAACAGUUGCUGUGAUAUCUCAAGGGCACUACUUCCUUUGGUCUUUCUUUCCAUUCUUCUCUUGAUCAUUAACUUACUGCUUAUGCUGAUGUUGAUUGGGUUGGUUGCCUUGAUGAUUGUCGAAGUACAAGUGGUCAUUGUAUCUUUUUUGGCUAUAAUCUAGUCUCUUGGAGCUCUUGUAAGCAGAAGGUUGUGUCUUGUUCUAGCACUGAAGCUGAGUAUAGGGCCUUAACAAAUGCUGCUUUUAAACUUUAGUAGAUUCAACAUCUUCUCUAGGAGCUCUUUAUCUCAUCUCAUUCUUCUCCUAUUUUGUUAUAUGACAAUCUUUUAACCACUUUUCUUGCUAUCAAUCCUAUUUUUCAUUCUCAAGUUAAGCAUGUGGAACUAGAUUGUCAUUUUGUUCAGGAAAAGGUUAUCAAUAAGACUGGUGGUUCAACACAUUCCUUCUUGUGACCAGAUUGCUAAUGUUCUUAACAAAGCCUUACAUGUUCAACAAUUUCUCAAUCUACGAAGCAAACUCACUAUUCUAGCUAAACCUUUGAGUUUGAGAGGGGAUGUUAAGCCAUGUACAGUUGUAAUUAAACCAAAUUAGUUAGAAACCUGUAUCUAGAUGAUUAGUUAUGGUAUUGUUAGAUAAUUAGUUAUAAGAUAUAGUUAACUUCAAAUACAUAAAAAUAUGUAGAAUCACUUCUCAAAAAGAAGUAGAAAUCUUAGAGAAUAAAGUUUUUCAAAAGUUUAAGAAACCUUUGUUUCACUUUGUUUUCAAUUUUAUUCCAUUUAACUUUCUUUCAAUUCUCACAAUCUAUUCAUCUUUGGGUUGCAAAAUUCAACCAUGGACCAAAAUUUUCUAAUAAGAAUGACUAUAAGUAAAGUCGUUGGUUUUUUUUCCUCUUUUAUUUUUUUGAAAGCGUCGUAAACCCUUCUAAUGUGUUUCAAAGUUUAUAAUAAAGAACAAGAAAAAGAAAAUUUUCAUAUUUUUUAUUUAUGACAACAUUCGGGUUAUAAUUCAUUACCAUAAAAUAUUAAAGUUAUAUUUAGUUAUUAAAAAUUUGGAGAAAAAUGUGAAAGGAUGAAAGCAAAAAAGAAAAAUAAACGUGACAGAAAAUGAAAAAAAUAAAGACUUAAAAUUAAUAAAUUAGAUAAAAGAUGGUGUACGCUACGUGAUGCGUGGGUGAUGUAAGCUAUGUCCAUCUGUUCAUGUGUGGGUGACAAAAGUCAGCAGUGGACCAAAUUUUUUUUAGUAAGGUGUAUAAGCACAGUUAUAGUUUUUUAUUUUCUUUCGUUUUUUAUGUUUUGGAAACAAUGUGAUUAACGCUUCUUAUUUGUUUGAAAACCCAUAAUAAACAAUGAGAACAAGAAAUUUAUCAUUUUUUUUUUUAUUACAACUUUUAGUUACAAUUCAUUACCAUAAAAUACUAAGUUAUGUUUAGUUAUUAGAAUUUUUGAGGAAAAUGUGAAAGGAGGAAAGCCAAAAACAAAAAUAAAGGUGAAAGAAAAAUUUAAAAAUUAAUAAAUAAAUAAAAUUAAUAAAUUAUUUCUAUAUUUUUCUUUAAACAUAUUUUUCUUAUUUUUUUGUAAAUAUAAAAUUUUGAGGAAAAUGGGAAAGAAAAAAAUAAAAAUAAAGAUAGAUAAAAAAUGAAAAAAAAAAAAAGAAUUAAAUCAAUGAACCAUUUUUACUUAAUUCUUUAUACUCAUUUUUUAUUUUUAAUAUAAAGAUUAAAUAAUUUAAAAAUAUAUGAAUUGUUACUAUUUUCUACCAUAAAUCAAGCAUAAAAAAAUAAUUAUUUAUUUUAGUAUUUUAGAGGACCAAAGAUAGCAGCAUAAUAGGUCCAUGCACUUUUCCUUGGUGCUUGGGAGAAAACAUCAAUUUUCUGUACUAAAGGGUUAAUAGUGAUUUUCAAGAGCACAAAAACGAUGCUUUGUUGCAAAAAGCCUAAAACAUCACUGAAAUAGGUCCAAGUUGAAACCAAAGUUUUGAUUUACAUUUUAUUUUCACUCACCCACUUCCUUAAAAUAAAUUAGGUAUUUAAUGAAAUUUCAAACCGACAAAAUAUAUUUUGUUAAAUCCUAAAGAAAGGUAAUUGAAAUUAAUGCUUAAUAAAUAUUAAAACAUAAUAAGUAAUAAUAAACGAAAUUGAUUUUUUAUUCCCAAUUUUCCAUUCUGGUGUUAUACUAGUAAGAAAAUUGUUAAACUUGAAUUUAAAGAAGAUUAUAGAUAUUAUAGAAUCAUGUUAAUUUGUAAUUUUGUAUGGUAGGAAAAAUUAAUUUUGACAAACAUUAAUAUUUGUGUGAUAUAAUUCAGGUUAAAAGUGAAAAUAAUAUAGAAGCUAGUAUAUACCAUACAACUUUUUCCCUUUAUUUAAUUUUUGAAUGGUGAAUAGGGUCUACUGCAUGCAAUUAUCUGUUAUAUUUAGUGACUCCACCUCUUUCCAUCCAUCUCUCAACCAUAAAAUUAAGGAAUGAGACCAAUUGCAAAAUUAAGAUAGUGUAUAAGAUUGACUAUUGCUAAAAUUGUAUAUUUUGUGACUUAGAAUUGGACAUGAGACUUAGCUUCAUCUAUUCCUCAAUCAUUGAAUAGUGAAUGGUGGUCCACCACAUGUAAUUAUCUAUAACAUUUACUAACUUUACUAUUAGGAUAGAGCCUUCAAAAACAUAAAAUUAUAUAAUAAAUUUAGAAUUCAUCGUUCAUUUAAUGAUGUUUCAGUUUCACUUUUAUAUAUCAUUAUUACAUACAUUAUACUUUAUGAGAGCAUUCUUACUUGACAUAUUUUAUAUUGUAGAUGACUUAUAUGCAUUAGGAGUUGUAUGAAAAAUCUAAAUCGUGAAUUCCUUGCAAGUAGAUGAUUUAUUAACAAUCGUUUCAUGGACUUAGACAAUCCAUUUAAGAUUUUAAUACUUCUAAAUUGGAAGAAUAAUUGAUUUUGAUCAUCAAGAUGAGGUUCCCAUGGUGAGCACACUAAUGUGUACAACUACACAUUGCAAAUAUUUAUCUAAUUUAGAUGUAUUUAAUGACAUAAAACAAAUGAUGAUAUACAUAAGUAUUUUUUUUAUAAAUCUAUAUUUAAUUAUUAUGCAAAAUAGACAAUAUUUAAAAUUAUUUUAUUUACAAUAAUUUUAUUUUAAUUAAUGGAUAAUAUAUAUAUAUAUAUAUAUAAGAAAUUUAUAUUUAUGAAUUUUAUAUAUAAAAUCUGUAAAUGUAUGAUUUGAAACAAACAACAAAGUUAGCUUGGUGGCAUCGCCCAUACAUGCCUGAGGUCAUGGGUUCUAAUUAAUGAAUAAGUCAAAUGUGUCUAGUAGGCUAAGCUGGGCUUCGUCUCAAAGGAGUCACAGUAUGGGAGAUAGCUGUUGGGUUGGGCCAUAAAAGCCCAUUGCAAAAUUUUGAUUUGACAAUCCAACUCAAAAAAAUAUGUGAUGUGGCAUAAAAAUUGUCAAAAAUUCGAUGAAAAAAUAUAAAUAAAAGGAUACAUCAUAUGGUCGAGAUUUUAGGCGUAGUAUCGUAUUGGCCACUUUCAAUACAUGAUAUUUUGACAAUACAUCCUCUAAAUUUCGCAAUAUUUUAAACUUUGGCUCAUAGUCGUCAAUCACAUCCUUCAAGUCGUUGAAAAGUUUGCUAAGGAAUAUAGAGGUGCCACGUUAUGGACAUGAAGAUUAAUGUAGGUUCUAAUAAUUGAAACAAGUCCAUUAUAGGAUGACUUUGAAUGUGGCUAAAAAGUUUUUGGGCAAUAAUCCCAAAGAAUAAAUGAGGUGAAUAAAACAAUAUUAUAUGGGUCCAAUACAUCACAUCCGUGAACACUUCUAAUUAGCUUUCAAUUCAAACUUAAUGUUAUAAAUUAGGUGAUUAAGAUCAAACUCUAAAAAUACUAUCAACAAGAAAAUCACCUUUAAUUUUUUAUUGAUAAAAGAAUAUAUAUAUAUAUAUAUAUAUAUAUAUAUAUAUAUAUAUAUAUAUAAUGAGUUUUAGAUUUAAAGCCAAAUAAAAAAGUUCACAAAUGAUGUACCAAGUUCAUAAAUGAUAGUGUCUCGAUAUAUUAUAAUUUUAAAAAAUAUAGGUCUACAUGAACAUCUUAUCUCCAUCAUUCAACCACAACAAUCUAAGAGUGCACAAUGUGUGAUAUAGGUGUAUUCAACCACCCUCCCAAAAAUAUAGGUCUACAUGAACAUCUUAUUUCCAUCAUUCAACCACAACAAUCUAAGAGUGCACAAUGUGUGAUAUAGGUGUAUUCAACCACCCUCCCAAAUCAUGAAAAUAAGGCAAAAGAACACUCUUAACGUGAAUAUUAAUUUGUACAAAAAUUUGUGGUAUACUAGUCUUCUAAUGAUUGGUCUUCAUAAGCAGCUCUCAAUUAGUAUGUCUUUACUAAUAUGUUUCCAUGCAUUAAGUGAUCCUCUAAUGGCAAUUGCAUGUCAUGGUCGGUCUCCAUAAGCCGCUUUCAAUUGGUAUGUUUAUUUUUACUUCUUUUGCAACUAAGGCCUUGCUUAGAUUGAUCUUUAAGAAAUUUAUUUAUUUAUUUUUAAUUCAAGAAAAAUUAUGAAUUUAUUUAGGCAAUUUUGUUCAAAGAAAUUAAUUUUGUUUCUUUUUAUAGAAGUUAUAUCAUACUUUGGCUUACACCAUAAGUUCCUUUUAUUUUUAAUUAAGCUUUUAUAAUAUCAAUAUCGACAGUUAAAAAUCAUGACAUUGUUUAGCACCUAUCUCGACAUGCCCUAAAUUUAGAAGUCAAAUCUUAUUGAAGGUGUUUGAAUAAAUGAUAUGUAUACUAGCUUUUCAAGAAAGAGAAUGGAAAUGAGAAAGAAAGAAAGUAGAAAAAAGAAAAAUUAUAAAUAAAAUAAGAAAUUCAAUCAAAAUAUUUUUAAAACCUAUCAUGAAAUGGAAUUAUAAAAAUAUAGAAUUAAAUAUAUAUUUUCUAUAACAUCCAAAAAAAAAAUUAAUAGCGAUGCUAUUGUUUUCUAAACAAUCCUAUUUCAAUUUUACAUUUAAAAAAAAUUACUUUUUAUCUUGCAAAAAAUUGAGAGUGAUUUAGAAUUAGCCAUGUAAAAUUUUGUUGGACUUAUCCCACAAAAAUGAAAUUUGAAUUAAAAAUAUUUUUUUAAAAAAUUGAUAAUCAAAUAUAACAUUAUGUUAAUUACUUAAAUGAAUUGCAAUAACUCAUUCUUUAUUUCUUAUUCAUGGGCCUGAAGCCCAACAUGCAAAUAGUAAUCAGCCCAUGGAGAUCUGAUGAUCAUAAUCACUUUGAUUUUGAUGACUCAAAAGCAUAAGGAAAUGUUUCAGUGCUAUGCGGGUCCACCACUGGAAACUCAUCAAUCACAUCGCUCCAAGGAUUCAUUUUCUCACGAUCAAUGGUCCUAAUGGCUUUCCAAAACGCACUACUACAUUUAAAGCCAGACCCAUAUGCAAUCUGCCACACACGAUCACCCCUCUUGAUCCUACCCUUGGCCUCUGCAUAAGCUAGCUCAUACCAUACUGAACUACUCGAUGUAUUCCCAAACCUAUACAAGGUCAUUCUAGAAGCUUCCAUUUGUCCCUCACUCAUUCUCAAGCUCCUCGCCACUUUGUCCAGUAUGGGCUUUGCACCCACAUGAGGGAAGAAAUGAUCCACUGCACGCUUGACAUUUGGCACGUACGGUUUGAUGUUUGCCACAUGGAAAUACCUAAUUAAAUAGUUGGCAAGAUAGAGGAGUCGUUCUGAUGCAGGGAGGAUCAGGGGAGCCAAUGUGGCUACGUUGGAUUUAAUGAUCUCGGAGACCACGACUAAGAGAUCUUUGUUGAUGGUAAUACCCACGUGGCCCUCAUGGUCCUUUUCCUGGAUGAUGCAGUUGUACGAACAAUCAGAGCUUGCGGUGUUGGUGUGGACAGUGUGGAUGAGCUGGUACUUGGAGCUGCUUCGAUCGGAGGGUCGGUUGGAGAGGAAAACCGCGGCGCCACCCAUACGAAAGCAACAAUUGCCGAUGAGCUUGGAUGGAUUGUUUCCCAUGUAGCAGCCUUGAGUGAUAAUCUCUGUGGUCACCACUAGGGCAUACGAAUUACGGUGCACCUGCAAUUGAGGGGUAUUUUUUAGAAAAAUAUUGUUAUAAAAAUGAUUAUUUGAAAAAUAAAUAUAAAAUAUGAUACUCUAAGUAAACCUAUUACAAAAAUUCAUUUUUUAUGUAAAUUUUUUUAAUAUUUUUAUUUUUAAAAACAUAAAAUGGAAAUGUAUCCAAACAAAUAAUUACCUUUUUUUUUUUUUAAUUUUAACUCUUACAAUCAUGUUAAUUUUUUUUACAUUAUAUUUAGUUCUCGAAAGUAGAAAAUACUAAGGAAAACAAAAUAAUAAUAAUAAUGAAGAUCAAAAUAAUUUUCUUGUAUCUGAUUAUAUUAUAAAAAUAUAUUAAAAAAUUAAAUUAAAUAAAUAUUAAUUAAAAACUUAUACCUUUUCAAAUUAUUUAAUUUUUACAUGCAACAGGUUGAAAGUAUCAUAUAUAAAAAAUAACAGGUUCUUUAUAGUAACAAGUUGAGGCCUAGUGGCUGCCCAUUUUGGGGCUGGUCCACCAACUAUAAAAGACAAUCCAAUAAAUAAACCGAAACAAAGUUCUCUCAAGAGUUGGACAGAGUCGGGCGUUGGAAUAGUUAAGAAGUAAAGACCAAAAACAAAAAAACGAAAAAAUUGGGGGAAAAAGAAUGAAAUUAAGGCACUAUUUGGAAAUUAUUUUUAAGAAUAAUUUUUUAUUUUUUAAAAUUUUAAAAAUUAUUUUUAGAGAAUAUUUUUUAAUUGUUUUAGGUUAUUGUCUUUAUUGUUUGAAGGUUGUUUUAAAAUAAUAAUUAUACAAAUAUAAAAAAUAUUAAAAACAAAAUAUUACAUAUAAAAUUUAUUUUUAAAAUAUAAAAAAUAAAUUAAAAAUAUUUCAAAUUUUUAAAUAAACUUUUAUUUUACAAAACAUCAUAAAAUAAUUUAAAAAAAACGAUGACCUUGUAUGACAAUUAUUUUCAAAAAAAUUGAAAAGUACUAUUGAUAAUAGAAAAAUUAUUUUUUGUUUAAUAUUAUUAAAAACAGAAAAUAUGGCCUUUUCAAAUAACAUAUAAAAUUAUUAAAUAUAAAAAUUAUUUUCAAAAUAUAUUUAAAAAUAUUAAAAUCAGAUUAAAAAUAUUUUAGGUGUAUUUACUAAACAUUUGAGUACAAUUUUUCAAAAUCAUUCUCAAAAAUUGUUUUUCAAAACUGUUUUAAAAAAUAAUUAGCAAAUAUAUGAUAAACAUGAAAAAUAAAAUACGGAACCUUGAGAAGGUCUUUGGCAAGCCCAAUGGACAAGAGUCCAGCACUGCACCCCAUUCCACUCAGAUUGUAGCUCAAAACAUUCUUACCAAGCUUGUAUCUAUUCACAAUCAUGGAAGCUAGAGACGGAACAGUGUUAAAAAUACUACUAUGCACCACCACUAUCCCUAUCUCCUCACCCUUCACCCCGGUCUUGCCCAGUAACUCAUCCAUGUUAUCAAAUCACCCACGUUCCGCUGCCCUGAAGUGGUCCAACACUUGGCCACGUCCUUCAUCAUGUAGCUGCUGUUAAGGAGCACGUUUCUCUCAACUGCUCAUCGUGUGGCAAAUCAGAGAAACGUGGCUUUGAUGGGAAGCCACGUUUUCUUUGUAUUUUAAAUAUCGGUCUUGGUCCCGAGCUCCUCUCUCAUGCUGCUGAAAAUCUUCAGAAACUACACCAUCCAUAAGGAGAGAUAGAGUUUUGGAAACCAAAGACUUGCAACCCAACAAUGGCUGGAGGUAAGUAUGGCAUAAGUUACAAAUUAAGAUUGUUUAUAUGCAUUAUGAAUUGCUUACAUUUGGUAUUAGAGCCUUGCAAUCUUGCCUCUGCCUUGGUGUUAGUUGCUUAGAUAAUUGUUUCCUUUCUGGAAAUAAAAUCAAAUAGAACAAGAAAUUAGGUGAAAUGGUUCAGCUUUUGUGGUUUACUUCCACCCAGGGAUUGAAAAAUCGGAAAAUGUCGCCGAUAUUUCGAAGAAAUAUCGGAUAUCGGACGGCGCCGAAACGAUAAUCGUCACCGAUUAUCGAUCGACGGAAAAAUCGACAAAAAAUGGCAAAAUCGCCGAUAUAUCGGCGAAAUAUCGGCGAAGCACCGAUUUAUCGGAAAAUUUCCCGAUAUUUUCCUACCAGUCCAGCCCGCGCACAGGAUACAAAAUCUGGCUCAAAAAUCGUGGAUUUAGGGUUCGUGAAAUUUAAAUCCAAUGGCACAACAGCAAAGAGACCCUUAAAACAGAUCCAGAAAACACAGGGAGCAAAAGAAAAGCAAAUUUUUUGGUUUUCUUUGGGGGUUUUGAAUGGAUUUUCUCGGAAAUCAAACGAGAAUGAAUUUUCCCGGAAAUCAAAUGGGGGAUGGAUUUUCCCGGAAAUCAAAUGGGGGAUGGAUUUUCUUGGGAAUCAAACGGGGGUUGCAAAAAAAAAAAUAUCAACGUGAUUAGAUUAGUACCUGCGAGGAUUGAGAGUGGCAGAGGAAGAUAGGUCUUUUUAGGAAGAAGAACUCUCUCGGCUGGAGGGCAGCUUCAGAAAAGGGGAAAGGGGAAUUCUCUCGGCUGGAGGGUAACUUCAGAAGUGGGUGACCCUUUUAAUUUUUAGAUUUAGUAGAGGUAAAAAAAAAAAAAAAAAAAAAAAAAAAAAAAAAAACAAAUCAUGAGAGCAAUUUUCCUCUACCCAUAUAAAUAAUUAUAAAUUAUUGAAUUUUAUUUUGAUUAUUAAAUAAAUUAAUAUUAAUAAAAAAAGUUGUUACUAUAUGUUUUUAAUAAAAUUUUAAAAAUUAAAUCUCAAAUAAAAUAUUUAUAUAAAUUAAUUUAAUUUUCAUUUAAAAUAUAAUAAAAUAUGUUUUAAUAAAAGUAUUUUAAAAUUUUUUAAAUAAACAUUAUCUUCAACAAAUUGGGUCAUCUUCAUCUAACAAUAUAAUGAAAUCACAUCGAUCUCUUCCUUAAUAUAAGGACUAUUGUAAUAUCAUAUGUAUUAUAUUUAUGUAUAAAUUGUUUUUAUUCAAUAAAAUAAAAUAUUUUUUAAUUCAAUUCUAACUCUAUAUACUUUCAAAAUUCAUAUAUAUUAUUUUUAAAAUUUGAAUAUCGAAUCUACCAAUAUAUCUUUGUUUAAAAUAUCUUUUUAAUUAUAUAUAUGUCAAUUACACUUACAAGAUAACUUUAAAACGUGUAUUUUUACUUAUUUUAUCAUUUUUUAAAGUUUUUUCAAGCAUUUAUAUUAAUUUUAAAUAAUUUUCACUUUAUCGAUAUUUGUGAAAAAAUAUCCACCGAUAUUUCUCCGAUAUUUACGAUAUAUCCGUAAAAUCGAAGUACCGAUAUAUCCGUAAAAACCGACAUUUCAAUCCUUGCUUCCACCUACAGCCAUGCCACCCAUUCAACUACAACGUCUUUGAUCUAGAUUAUUUCUUCACCAUAAAAACCCAUUUCUUUCUCUAUCUACAUACAUAUAUUAUAUAUAUAUAUAUAUAUAUAUUCACUACAUGCGCCAUUUCGAGCCCCAUUUAGAGCACCAUUAAGCACCACUGCAGGUGCUAGUCAAAGCGUCGCUGCAGGCACCAUUUAAGGCGUUCCAAAAGAGCCAUUUUCGGUGCUUUUGGGGCUGCAGUUUCAGCCACUACAGGCCCCACAUUCAAGCGACAUUAAAGCGCCGCUGCUGGUGCUGGUCAAAGGGGCUGCAAGUGCCAUUUCCAAACGCCAUUCAGGCGCCAAUUCUGAGCAUAAUUCAGCCCCAAUUCUGAGCGCCAUUCAGGCACUCAUUCCAGCAUCAUUCAGGCACUCAUUUCAGUGUCAUUCAAGCUCUGAUCUUUGCCGCUGCAAGCCCUCGUUACGAGCGCCAUUCAGGCGCUGUUCAAGCGCCGAUGCAGGUGCCUGUUCCGAGUGCCAUUCAGGCACCACUGCAAGCGCCAUUCAGGAACUAGUCAAGCGCCGCUGCAGGCACCAUUUUCGGGCGUUCCAGAAGCGCCAUUUGAGGUGUUGUUUUGGUGCCGCGGAUGAUGCGGCUGCAGGAGACUAGGGUGGUUAUGAUGCCAACGUGCUGAAUGUUGGAACACAUAAAUUAAUAAAUAAAUAAAAACUAGAGAGAUAUUGGGUUUUUACUUUUGGACCCAUUAGGCUUAUUAGUGACCAAUAAAAUUAUUAAAGGUCUUUGUGCAUUGGGCCAUGGGUUAAAUCUGAUAAAUUAUUUAUUGGUUUUGAAUUAAUUGUUUUUAUAUGGAUUUAGGUACCCUUUCAUAAUAUGAAUUCCUUUUAAAUUAUUCUAAAUUAUGUGUGAUUUUUAUACAUGCAAAUUAAAUUAUUUAUUUUAAUUUAUAUGUUUGUAUGUGUAAAAAUAUAGCCUAAUUGUUGACAUUGUUGACUAAAUUUAGUUAGAUAUAUUAAGAUUAUAUCAUAUAGUAUGCAUGCAAUUGUUGACAUUGUUGACUAAAUUUAGUUAGAUAUAUUAAGAUUAUAUCAUAUAGUAUGCAUGCAAUUGUUGCCUAAAAUUUAGUUAGAUAUAUUAAAAUUAUAUCAUAUGAUUUUAAUGUCUAGUGAAUCCAUAUGAUUUUUUUAAAUAAUUAAGGAAUAGCCACAGCAUCCUUAAUUAUAUAAAAAAUUAUAUAUUAAUAAGGAUCGCAUUAUGGACAUUAAUUGUAAUUAACUAUAUAAAUAUGAUGUUUUACCCCACAGGGUUUUCAUUAUGUUUAUAUAAUUAAUUAUGAUAAAAUAUUAAAAUUAAUUUUUUCUAAUUUACCCACAGGAAUUAGGAAGAAUUAAUUUAAUAAGUUUAUCAUAAAGAUUAUAGACAGAAAAUAUCAAACUAUAUUUAGAAUAAAUUUCAUGAUUUAAUAAAAUAGUUUGAUAAAGUCUAUCAUAAAGAUAAUGAAUCUUAUUGAAUUAAAGAUUUAGCCCACAUGCAAUUUUUAAUAAAAUUAGAUUCAAUUUUAAGCAUGUUCUACAUUGGUAAAGCAUGAAUUUAUAUUAAAGCCUCAAAUUUUUAAUAAGCUUCUAAUCCUUUUGUGCAGUUUUACCUAGCAUAUCUGAUAUUCGUUGUGAGGUUCCCGAACUUAGAGGAGAUAACUUUAAGAUAUGGAAGGAGAGAAUUCUUCUUCAAUUAGGGUGCAUGGACAUAGAUUAUGCUAUAAGGAAAGAUGAACCGCAUAAGAUCACAGAUACCAACACACCUGAACAAAUUUUAUUGUACGAACGCUGGGAGAAAUCUAAUCGCCUUAGCGUGAUGUACAUUAAGACAAAAAUCAGUGCUGGUAUACAUGGUUCAAUCGAGCAACAUGAGAAUGUCCGUGAAUUGCUAAAGGCUAUUGACGAGCAAUUCGUCACUUCAGAUAAAGCCUUGGCAAGCACCCUAAUUAUGAAGUUCACAUCCCUGAAGCUCACCGGUGUAAGAGGUGUGCGUGAACAUAUCAUGGAGAUGAGGGACAUUGUGGCUCAAUUGAAGAAACUCGAGGUAGAAAUGUCUGAAUCUUUCUUGGUGCACUUUAUUCUUAACACUCUUCCACCUCAGUAUGGACCUUUCAAAAUCUCUUACAACACACAUAAGGAUAAGUGGUCUAUCAAUGAAUUGAUGACCAUGUGUGUUCAAGAGGAAGGAAGGUUAUUGAUGGAACAAGGAGAAAGUGCCAUGCUGGUGACGCAAAGGAAAGGAAAGAAAGGAAAAUCUCAAGCUAGUCAGAAAGGGAAGCAACAAAUUCCUCCCAAAUCUGACAUUAAGAAAGACGAAAAGUGUUUUUUCUGUAAAAAGAAAGGACACGUGAAGAAGAAAUGUCUGAAAUUUCAGAAUUGGCUUGAGAAGAAAGGUAACCCUACCUCAUUUGUUUGCUAUGAAUCUAAUAUGGUUAAUGUAAACACCAACACAUGGUGGAUUGAUUCUGGAUCUACAAUCCACAUUUCAAAUUCCUUGCAGGGUAUGCAAAACCUAAGGAAGCCAGUGACAAGUGAGCAAUUCAUCUUAUUCGGAAACAAGAUGGGCUCGCAUGUGGAAGCAAUAGGGAUAUGUUAUUUAACUUUAAAUAGUGGUUUGUUUUAGAAUUGCAAAAGACUUUUUAUGUACCAAGUUUCUCACGAAACUUGAUUUCAGUUUCUAGACUUGUACCGUUUGGAUAUUCCUUUCAUUUUCAGAAACAUCUUUCAAUUUGAUUUAUAAAUCUGAAUGUGUUGGGAAUGGUAUCUUGUCUGAUGGUCUUUAUUGUAUAUUCUUAAAAAAUGAUACCGCUCAUAAUUCAUUGCAUGUCCAAACUGGCAUUAAGAGAUGUGUUGUAAAAGAGGAUUCCUCUACAUUGUGGCACCGGAGAUUAGGUCAUAUUUCCAUAGAUAGAAUCAAAAGAUUGGUGAAUGAUGGGGUACUUAGUACUCUAGAUUUUACUGACUUUGAGACUUGUGUGGACUGCAUUAAGGGUAAGCAGACCAAUAAGUCAAAGAGAGGUGCUACUAGGAGUUCCACCAUACUAGAGAUCAUACAUACUGAUAUAUGUUGUCUUGACAUGGACUCUCAUGGUCAGAAAUACUUCAUCUCUUUCAUAGAUGAUUUCUCACGAUACAUGUAUCUCUACAUACUUCAUAAUAAAAAUGAAGCUUUAGAUGCCUUUAAAGUCUUCAAGGCAGAAGUAGAGAAACAAUAUGGUAAACAAAUUAAGAUUGUGAGAUCAGAUAGAGGUGGAGAAUAUUAUGGUAGAUACUUGGAAGAUGGACAAUCACCUGGGCCAUUUGCGAAGUUUCUUCAAGAGCAUGGGAUUGUUGCCCAAUACACCAUGCCUGGUUCUCCAGACCAAAAUGGUGUAGCAGAAAGAAGAAACCGAACUUUAUUGGACAUGGUGAGGAGUAUGCUUAGCAGCUCAAAACUUCCUAAAUUCUUGUGGACUGAAGCACUUAAGACAGCUGUGUAUAUAUUAAACCGAGUUCCAACCAAGGCUGUCCCAAAGAGGCCAUUUGAGUUAUUGAAAGGUUGGAAACCGAGUUUGCGACAUAUGCGCGUUUGGGGAUGCUCGUCUGAAGUGAGAAUUUAUAAUCCACAGGAGAAGAAACUGGACCCAAGGACUAUUAGUGGGUAUUUCAUUGGAUAUGCUGAAAAGUCUAAGGGAUACAGAUUUUACUGUCCAUCUCACAGCAUUAGGAUUGUGGAAUCAAGAAAUGCUAAAUUUCUUGAAUAUGACUUGGUCAGUGGGAGCGAUCAAUUUAGGAACAUAGUUUCUGAUAUUGAUCAUACAGAGUCUCAACCUUCCACUUCAAGCGAUAGAUUGUUUAUUGUUCAUAACACCCCUCAAGUACAAACGGGUGUUGAAUGAACAAUCGAUGAAGUUCAACCAGUCAUUGAAGUUCCACAAGUUGUUGACAACAUUCCAGUAGACCAAGUUGAUCAGGAGUUGCCUAACACUUCUGAACAACAAGUUGAGCCUCAUACUUCCUCGGAAGAUAUUGGUACAACCUUAAGAAGGUCUGCUCGAACUAAGAGGUCAGCAAUUCCUAGUGAUUAUGUAGUGUAUCUACAAGAAUCUGACUAUAAUAUAGGAGCCGAAAAUGAUCCCGAAUCAUUUUCACAAGCCAUGAGUUGCAAAGAAUCUGAAUUGUGGUACAAUGCCAUGAAGGAUGAGAUGAGUUCCAUGAAGUGCAAUGAUGUUUGGGACCUUGUUGAGUUGCCUAAUGGUGUGAAAACCAUUGGUUGUAAAUGGGUUUUUAAGACAAAGAAAGACUCAUUAGGCAACAUUGAGAGAUACAAGGCCAGACUUGUUGCAAAGGGGUUCACUCAGAAAGAAGGAAUCGAUUACACGGAAACCUUUUCUCCUGUAUCUAAGAAAGAUUCCUUGCGCAUUAUAUUGGCAUUAGUAGCCCACUUUGAUUUAGAAUUGCAACAAAUGGAUGUGAAAACUGCAUUUCUUAAUGGAGAGCUAGAGGAGGAGGUUUACAUGAAACAACCUGAAGGAUUCCCCUCUAGUGAUGGUGAGCAAUUGGUUUGUAAGCUUAAGAAAUCCAUAUACGGUUUAAAACAAGCAUCCCGCCAAUGGUAUUUAAAAUUCCAUAACAUAAUUUCUUCAUUUGGUUUUGUUGAAAAUGUUAUGGAUCAAUGCAUAUACCUUAAGGUCAGUGGGAGUAAAGUUUGUUUUCUUGUUUUAUACGUGGAUGACAUCUUACUUGCAACCAAUGAUAAGGGUUUACUUCAUGAGGUGAAACAAUUCCUCUCUAAAAAUUUCGACAUGAAGGAUAUGGGUGAGGCAUCUUAUGUCAUUGGCAUUAAGAUCCAUAGAGACAGAUUUAAAGGUAUCUUAGGUUUGUCUCAAGAAACCUAUAUCAAUAAAGUUUUAGAGAGAUUUCGGAUGAAGAAUUGUUCACCUAGUGUUUCUCCUAUAGUGAAGGGUGAUAGGUUCAAUCUGAACCAAUGCCCGAAAAACGAUCUUGAGAGGGAACAAAUGAAGAACAUUCCAUAUGCUUCUGCAGUCGGAAGUUUGAUGUAUGCUCAGGUCUGCACAAGGCCUGACAUUGCAUUUGUUGUUGGAAUGUUAGGACGAUAUCAGAGUAACCCAGGUAUAGACCACUGGAAAGCUGCAAAGAAAGUGAUGAGAUAUCUUCAAGGAACCAAAGAUUACAAGCUUAUGUACAGACGAACAAGCAAUUUAGAGGUAGUUGGCUACUCAGAUUCAGACUUUGCUGGCUGUGUUGAUUCACGUAAAUCAACAUCUGGAUACAUUUUUAUAUUGGCCGGUGGAGCUAUAUCUUGGAGGAGCGUUAAGCAGACCAUGACUGCUACUUCUACUAUGGAAGCUGAGUUCAUAUCUUGUUUUGAGGCUACUUCACAUGGUGUAUGGCUUAAGAGUUUCAUUUCCGGGCUUAGAGUUAUGGAUUCAAUAUCUAGGCCAUUGAGUAUAUAUUGCGACAAUUCAGCUGCAGUCUUUAUGGCGAAGAACAAUAAAAGUGGAAGUCGAAGCAAACACAUCGACAUUAAGUAUUUAGCCAUAAGAGAACGUGUUAAAGAAAAGAAAGUGGUUAUUGAGCACAUUAGCACUGAAUUGAUGAUCGCUGAUCCUUUGACUAAGGGCAUGCCACCAUUGAAAUUCAAGGAUCAUGUAGUGAACAUGGGACUUAGUUCCCUUAUGUAGUUUCUAUUGUACAAACUCUUAUUAUGAUGUUUUCUCAUAUUAAUGCGCACUUUUUAUUUAAUUUUGAGAAAAUUCAACUUCAUUGGACCAAGAAUGAACAUAGGGUUNNNNNNNNNNNNNNNNNNNNNNNNNNNNNNNNNNNNNNNNNNNNNNNNNNNNNNNNNNNNNNNNNNNNNNNNNNNNNNNNNNNNNNNNNNNNNNNNNNNNAGGGAACAAAUGAAGAACAUUCCAUAUGCUUCUGCAGUCGGAAGUUUGAUGUAUGCUCAGGUCUGCACAAGGCCUGACAUUGCAUUUGUUGUUGGAAUGUUAGGACGAUAUCAGAGUAACCCAGGUAUAGACCACUGGAAAGCUGCAAAGAAAGUGAUGAGAUAUCUUCAAGGAACCAAAGAUUACAAGCUUAUGUACAGACGAACAAGCAAUUUAGAGGUAGUUGGCUACUCAGAUUCAGACUUUGCUGGCUGUGUUGAUUCACGUAAAUCAACAUCUGGAUACAUUUUUAUAUUGGCCGGUGGAGCUAUAUCUUGGAGGAGCGUUAAGCAGACCAUGACUGCUACUUCUACUAUGGAAGCUGAGUUCAUUUCUUGUUUUGAGGCUACUUCACAUGGUGUAUGGCUUAAGAGUUUCAUUUCCGGGCUUAGAGUUAUGGAUUCAAUAUCUAGGCCAUUGAGUAUAUAUUGCGACAAUUCAGCUGCAGUCUUUAUGGCAAAGAACAAUAAAAGUGGAAGUCGAAGCAAACACAUCGACAUUAAGUAUCUAGUCAUAAGAGAACGUGUUAAAGAAAAGAAAGUGGUUAUUGAGCACAUUAGCACUGAAUUGAUGAUUGCUGAUCCUUUGACUAAGGGCAUGCCACCGUUGAAAUUCAAUGAUCAUGUAAUGAACAUGGGACUUAAUUCCCUUAUGUAGUUUUAUUGUACAAACUCUUAUUAUGAUGUUUUCUCAUAUUGAUGUGCACCUUUAUUUAAUUUUGAGAAAAUUCAACUUCAUUGGACCAAGAAUGAACAUAGGGUUUAUUCAUUAAGCAAUAUUGCCACAUAAAGUAAAAUGUUAAGAAAUGAAUACAUUGUAAUACAUGGAAGAUAACACUCGUUAUAUAGAGGACUUAUCGCCAUGAUUCAUAUAUUUGUUAUUUAAUGUGGAAAAAUGAUGAUCUAAGAUAGGACAUGAGGUUAAAAGUGUGGACCAAGUGGGAGAAUGUUAUCAAAUCACCCACGUUCCGCUGCCCUGAAGUGGUCCAACACUUGGCCACGUCCUUCAUCAUGUAGCUGCUGUUAAGGAGCAUGUUUCUCUCAACUGCUCAUCGUGUGGCAAAUCAGAGAAACGUGGCUUUGAUGGGAAGCCACGUUUUCUUUGUAUUUUAAAUAUCGGUCUUGGUCCCGAGCUCCUCUCUCAUGCUGCUGAAAAUCUUCAGAAACUACACCAUCCAUAAGGAGAGAUAGAGUUUUGGAAACCAAAGACUUGCAACCCAACAAUGGCUGGAGGUAAGUAUGGCAUAAGUUACAAAUUAAGAUUGUUUAUAUGCAUUAUGAAUUGCUUACAAUCCACAGCUCCGAACACCACCAUCUCCGCCUCUUUCCUCGUCGCCUCCAUCGACAUAUCCAGGGGCUCCCUAAGCAGUCCCUCAGACAAGUACGUGGCCUCGCCUAAUCCCGACGUCUUCAUUAGUUUCUUCAUGAAUUUCAGACUCUCGUCGGAGAAAUUUCCAUGCCGCCUCAACCUCUCAAUCACCAUUUCCUUAGUGCAUGCUAGAGAGCUGGGGGGCUUGUAGCAUGCAAAAUCUAGCAAGAAAAUUUUAGGGGAAGACCCAAAGGCGAAAAUGCUUAACAUAAUAAAAGCAAUUAGGGUUAAGCCCACCAUGACGGCCAUCGACAGGAUGAAACCGGACUGGCUGAUUAGAAACCCUAAGAGGUCAUUUGAUAUGAAUCCAAGGAGAAACAUGGUGAAUUGGGUUAUGAGUAUGUGCAAUUUUUGGAUUAAAAAAUGGCCUAAAAACCAUGUAUUUAAAUAGCCAAAACAUUUAUUUAUUUAUUUAUACGUGUUUCAUGCGUUCCACGGUGACAAAAGACAGAUAAGAUGUCACACUUUCAACUCACUCGUCCUUUCCAAGUAAUCAAUGUUAGAAUUGGUCUCUAUUUAAAUUAUUUCUUUCAUGGGUAGAAUGGGCUACGGUGAGUUAUGUGAAACAAAGUGUCGGCAAUUCAUUGGAUUUUUAUUCUGAUUAAUAAAAUAUUAAAAUAUAAUUAUGGAUGAUAAUUUGAAUGGAUUUUCUAUUCCAAUAUUCCACUAUUUCAAACAUCCAUUAUAUAUAUAUAUACAUAUAUAUAUAUAUAUAUAUAUAUAUUAAAAAAUAAUUUGUGAAGUAUCGUAAUGUCAAUCGUAAUUUUUACCAACUAAAAAAAAGUAAAAAUCAUCUUUUGAAUAGAUAAUUUAUUUAUUUAUUUUUAAAAAUAUUAUAAGCAAAAAUUAUCUCUUAAAGAGACAAAUUCUUUUUAUUAUUAUUAUUAUUUAAAUUAAAAAGUCUAAAAUCAUCCAUAGGAUGAAAACGGACUGGCAGAUCAGAAACCGAUCAUUUGAUAUGAAUCCAAGGAAAAACAUGAUGAAUUGGGUUAUGAGUAUGUGCAAUUUUUGGAUAAAAAAUGACCUAAAAACCAUGUAUUUAAAUAGCCAAAACAUUUAUUUAUUUAUGCAUGUUUUACUUGCCUUCACAAUUCAUAGUUCAUGUUUCAUGCGUUCCACGGUGACAAAAGACAAUAAGAUGUUACACUUUCAACUCACUCGUCCUUUCCAAGUAAUCAACGUUAGAAUUGGUCUUUAUUUAAAUCAUUUCUUUCAUGGAUGGAAUGGGAUGCGGUGAGUCAUGUCAAACAAAGUGUCGGCAAUUCAUAGGAUUUUUAUUCUGAUUAAUAAAAUAUUAAAAUAUAAUUAUGGAUAAUAAUUAGAAUGGAUUUUCUCCAAUAUUCCACUAUUUCAAACAUGCAUUAUAUAUAUUAAAAAAAUAAUUCGUAAACUAUCAUAAUGUCAAUCAUAAUUUUUACCAAAGUAAAAAUCAUCUUUUGAAUAGACAAUUUAUUUUUAUUUUUUAAAAAAAUAUAAGCAAAAAUUGUCUCUUCGACAAAUUCUUUUUAUUAUUAUUAUUUUUUAAAUUAAAAAGUGUAAAAUCAUCAAUUGACCCAACCGAUACAACAAACUUUCUGCAGUGGGUUUUGGCAAAGUUGGGCCUCUAUUUAUAUUGGGCCAAAAAUUCAUUUAUCACCCAGACUUCCAUGGUCCAGCGGACACCCAGCGGUGCCAAUGAGUUAGAUGAGAAUUUUAAAGGCCUUUUUUUGUCGUUUGUAAUCCGAUGUGGGACAGGUGUAACAGUUGAUUUAAAAGAAAAAUCAACAUGCAUGUCUUCAGUUAUAUGUUUCCAUGUGUUAGGUGAUCCUCUAAUGGCAAUUGCAUGUCAUGAUUGGUCUCUAUUAAGUGGCUUUGAAUUGGUAUGUUCAUUUUUACUUCUUUUGAUACUAAGGACUUGCUUAGAUUAAGGGGAUAAUUUGUGUUUGUGGGUCAUGUUCGUGAUGUGUCAAAACCUAGAUAUUCUACUACAUAACUUAACCCAAACUCAAUACAAAUAAUAAUAGUAUAAAAAACAUCAACUCAAAUACCACAUAAUUAUUAAACGAGUAACACAUCGUAUAAUCCAUUUAACCCUUUUAAUAAUCAGGUUCUCCAAUAUAAUAAUCAAAUUGAGUUAGGCCUUAUACAUGUCUAUAAGAUUAAUGUCUCAACCAAAUAUGUUUAUAACUCAAUUAAUUUAUUUAAUUAAAAACAAGUUUAAAAUGAGACAAAUAUGAGUUAAAUAGUUUAAAAUUAUAAUUAUGUUAAUAGUAAGAUUAUUAAAAUUGGUCAAUUCAGAUCAAAUUCACCCAAAAAUCACUUAUUUAUUAAAUAAAUUAUGCAGAUCAAUAUGAAUUUAACCCAAACUCAUAAAAAAAAUUACUUUUUAUCUUACAAAAAAUUGAGAGUGAUUUAGAAUUAAAUUAACCAUGUAGAAUUUUGUUAGACUUGUCCCAUAAAAAUGAAAUUUGAAUUUAAAAAAAUGGUAAUCAAAUAUAGCAUUAUGUUAAUCACUUCAAUGAAUUGCAGUAACUCGAUCUUUAUUUCUUAUUAAUGGGCCUAAUGCCCUACAUGCAAAUAGUAAUCAACUCAUGGCAAUAUGAUGAUCAUAAUCACUUUGACUUUGACAGCUCAAAAGCGUAAGGAAAUAUUUCGGUGUUGUGCGGGUCCACCACUGGAAAUUCAUCAAUCACAUCGCUCCAAGGAUUCAUUUUCUCACGAUCAACAGUCCUGAUGGCUUUCCAAAAUGCACUACUACAUUUAAAGCCAGACCCAUAUGCAAUCUGCCACAC
rnacentral:lncRNA from 1 species